rnacentral:rRNA from 1 species
CCCCUAGACGUUCUGGGCUGCACGCGCGCUACAAUAAUACGCACAGCGAGUAUCACCGAGCUCGAAAGGGCAAGGUAAACAAUAGAAAAGGUACUGUAAUGGUUAUAGAUCCUUGUAAUUAUUGAUCUUCAACGAGGAAUUCCUAGUAAGUAUGUGUCAUCAUCACGCACUGAUUACGUCCCUGCCCUUUGUACACACCGCCCGUCGCUCCUACCGAUUGAAUGUUCCGGUGAGCUCUUCGGACUGCGCGGUCUGCAGUUUCUGCGUUCCGUGCGGAAAGUUGUGCAAACCUUAACAUUUAGAGGAAGGAGAAGUCGUAACA